GAGAACCAUAGCAGGAAUUCGACAAAAUUAGAAAGCGACAGGACUUGAAUCUGGGAUGUUCUCCACAGGCUCAGGCUCCAACUUGUGCUGUUUCCUGGAGUGGUGGACCAGUUAGGAGAUGCGGCCUGAGCCAGAGAAGCAGGGCAUAGCCUUUGGUUCGAGUGGAGAGCUGUUCUUUGAAAUCUUUUCAUGCCAAAGAGAAGGGAUACAACAGAGUGCCGGCCACCAUGUCCACGCUCUCAGAAAGAGGAAUGUUCUGGAAGCAAAGCAUGGCCUGAGUGGCUCUCGAGAUGUGAGCUCAGCUAAACUAAGACUUACUUCAUCCUUCAGACCUGCAGCCUCGGAGCUUCAGAGUGAGGCCUUGAAUGGCCCCACCAAUGGGAUAAAGAAAUAAUUGCUGGUGAUUUCAGUUGCCCUGUAGGUGAGGGAUCAAUAUAUCAGAGAGGACUGCUUACCAAACUUUGUACAGGAGUCUGGAAAUUUUGACUGUGUCUCCGAAGUGUGUAACAGUUAAUAGAUAGCAGAAUGUGAGCCUCUGUGUGGAUGGGUUUCUAUGCCCUUGGGAAUCCUGCGAGAUAAAUCUGUUUUCUCUUUUUAUUAUAAGACUUUUGUCACCAGCUGCACUUGAGUUUUCAUACAGAGAAACCCCCAAAUCACACCGCAUGAAGUGUCACAAAUCACACACGCGAUCUGUAGCCAUGCGUGACAAAGGGACCUCGGUUCAGCACUGAAGUUCUGCAGAAAGGCAUUUCACCUUAUCUCCUCAGAUCUUAUAUUUUUUUUCCUCAAGCCCUCAUUUCCAUUAUAUUCAUUUUCGGAGUGGCACAUGGAGGUAACAUUUUUCCAUAGCCAAUUAUCUUGGGCCGAUCUCCGGCUCUUUCCUUACUCCUUCACAAAAUGCAGGCAGUAGCUGAUGCUAUGUUUCACUCAAAUUAUCCGUUGCUGUAACGCAGGA
rnacentral:lncRNA from 1 species